GGUCCGUUAGCUCAGUUGGUAGAGCACGUCACUUUUAAUGACGGUGUCCCAGGUUCAAGCCCUGGACGGAUCACCA
rnacentral:tRNA from 1 species